rnacentral:rRNA from 1 species
ACUCAAAGGAAUUGACGGGGACCCGCACAAGCGGUGGAGCAUGUGGAUUAAUUCGAUACUAACCGAAGAACCUUACCCAGGUUUGACAUCGAGGGAAAGCCUCUGAAAGGGGGCCCUCGCCCACAAGGCGACCCGAAGACAGAUGUUGCAUGGCUGUCGUCAGCUCGUGCCGUGAGGUGUACGGUUAAGUCCGCCAACGAGCGCAACCCUCGUCCUAUGUUGCCAGCGAUUAAAGUCGGGAACUCAUAGGAGACCGCCGGUGUAAGCCGGAGGAAGGUGGGGAUGACGUCAAGUCAGCAUGGCUCUUACGCCUGGGGCUUCACACAUGCUACAAUGGACGAAACAAAGGGCAGCAAGACCGUAAGGUGGAGCUAAUCCCAAAAAUACGUCCUCAGUUCAGAUUGCAGUCUGCAACUCGACUGCAUGAAGGCGGAAUCGCUAGUAAACGCAGGUCAGCUAAACUGCGUUGAAUACGUUCCCGGGUCUUGCACACACCGCCCGU